CUAGUCUCUAGACGAUGAUCAACUAGACCUCAGUUUAACCAAGACUGAUGGCAGGCACGAGCUUCCUCUGAUUCCCGGAUAAUCUGGGGGCUCCUGACAGCACCUCAGAACAGCACUGACAGCAGCCGCCCUUCCUUCCUGCUGUGGUUUCACUGUCUAAACAACCUUUCCUGCUUUUCCGUUAUUUUCUCUGGUUUUGGGGGGCUUUGAACCCUGCCGUAUCAGCACUCCUGGAAGAACAGAGAACAGAGAGACUGCAGCUCGGUUGCUGGAAUCCAAGGCAACCACAGACAGGACCAGCAGCCUGGCUUCCCCACUCUUACUUGCACAAGGUACUCUUCUGUCCUCGCAACUCCACACCUACAGUUGGCACAAGCUCUACCCUCCGCCUUCCGUCUUCCCUACCACUGCAGCCAUCUUGGGGCUUGUCUCCAGAGCCUGCCUGUGUGUCGGUAAACCGGUGAGAGAAACGCAAGGCAGUCCAACCCGGCACCUAAACUUAGAAUCGAAGAUAUAG
rnacentral:lncRNA from 1 species